GGGCUGCAGGAAGAAGUAACCAGCACAUCCCUCGGCACCCAACGCUUCCCUCAGCCCCCAGUGGCCUGAAGCGGCGAACUGCGGCCAGUGGGAGCCGUGAUCAGCCAAACUU